GUCACUUCUCCGCCUUUUGGCUAAGAUCAAGUGUAGUAUCUGUUCUUAUUAGUUUAAUAUCUGAUACGUCCUCUAUCCAAGGGCAAUAUAUUAAAUGGAUUUUUGGAAUUAGAAGAUGGAACAGAGGCUUGCUCUGUCCACUCUGCACAUUGAGCUGGUAUUGCAGUACUUCCAGGAACAGAGCACACACA